CCUACGGGUGGCAGCAGUGGGGAAUAUUGCACAAUGGGGGAAACCCUGAUGCAGCAACGCCGCGUGGGUGAAGGAGCGUUUCGGCGCGUAAAGCUCUGUCAGCGGGGAAGCAGAAAGACGGUCCCCGACCUAGAAGCCCCGGCUUACUACGUGCCAGCAGCCGCGGUAAUACGUAGGGGCCGAGCGUUAUCCGGAAUUACUGGGUGUAAAGGGAGUGUAGACGGCGAGGUAAGCCUGAAGUGGAAGCCCGCGGCCCAACCGCGGAACUGCUUUGGAAACUGUUUUGCUGGAGAAUGGGAGGGGUAAGCGGAAUGCGUGGUGUAGCGGUGAAAUGCGUAGAUAUCAGGAGGAACACCGGUGGCGAAGGCGGCUUACUGGACCAUAACUGACGUUGAGGCACGAAAGCGUGGGGAGCGAACAGGAUUAGAUACCCGGGUAGUC
rnacentral:rRNA from 1 species